rnacentral:rRNA from 1 species
UGCAGUUAAAAAGCUCGUAGUUGGAUUUCGGAGUGGGCCAGUUGGUCCGCCGCAAGGUGUGUUACUGACUGGUUUGCUCUUCUUCGCAAAGACUGCGUGUGCUCUUCAGUGAGUGUGCGUAGGAUUUACGACGUUUACUUUGAAAAAAUUAGAGUGUUCAAAGCAGGCUAUUGCUUGAAUACAUGAGCGUGGAAUAAUGGAAUAGGACUUUGGUCCCAUUUUGUUGGUUUCUAGGGCCGAGGUAAUGAUUAAGAGGGACAAUUGGGGGCAUCCGUAUUUCGUUGUCAGAGGUGAAAUUCUUGGAUUUACGAAAGACGAACAAACUGCGAAAGCACUUGCCAAGAGUGUUUUCAUUAAUCAAGAACGAAAGUUAGAGGAUCGAAGACGAUCCGAUACCGUCCUAGUUCUACCCAUANCGAUGUGACUAGGGAUCAGCGGGCGUUAU